ensembl:lncRNA
CGUUUGCCUAGAGUGGCAUCUGCUGGGAAAAUAUGGAUGUGUAUUAAACUGAAUAGUUCAGAAUGAAAUUCGCUAUACUUCUCUGCUGUUACUCAGUGCUUAGCAGCCAGUGGUCCCCAUUGAAAUGAUAUGGAAAAGAGCAGCGUGAACAUCCUGCCCAACAUCUCCUUUUGUUUGAUGGCGAACAGAAAGUCAAAGGGGUUUGGACUGACAUGAAGCCAUCAAUAGGAGGGAAGAAGGAUCAGCAGGACCCUUGAAGGUGGCCACUGUCAGACAGGUUUAUGGAUGGUGUAGUUCUUCACCAGAACUUCGGCUUUUACACACCACCUCAGGAGCUUAUGCUGAGUCUGUAUUGAAAGGUUCAUAUGAUUUAUAAUGAUUAUAUAGCAAUAGUUUGUGUACAGUAUGUGCUAUAUUUAUUCAUAGUCUGUAACUCAUGAUAAUUGCUCAUUACAGGAUUCUGAUGUUUCAUCCAAAAAAGAGCCUACGCAAUCGCACUGAAACCUGAUCCGGGACUCGCAUGAGCCGGGAUUGACAAAAAAUAUUUCAUCUCUGCCUUCUUCCCAGCACCUUGGCCCCUCUUGCUGAUCUUAUCUCCCAAUUACUGCCCUGCAAACAUUCCUGCACUCCAAACAGACUGCGAACGUGGAACGCUGGAGUCCAUGAUCACCUGUUCUUUUCUAGACAUGCAUCUACUUCCUGUUCUGAAGCAACAGUAAGCAGGAGUUUGACCUUGGCGGAGAUUGUGGGGCCACACCGGAGGGAGGGCGAUAGGUGGGAAAGACAUCUCCCGCUCCUGAAUUUGAUCCAGGAUCUGCUCCAUCGACAUGUGUUCAGUAACGUUACGUCACAGGCCAGGAGCCCUAAAAACAAAGUGUAAGUCUGAAUUGCUGAGCUUGAGUUGCACCGUGGCCAACUUUAAUAUAACACUGUUACCCUAACCAGUCAUUGAGCGUUAUUUAGAUUUUAUCUUGAUUUCAGUU